rnacentral:tRNA from 1 species
CAGAGUGUAGCUUAAACAGCAAAGCACCUCCCUUACACUGAGAAAAUGUCCGUGCAAUUCAGACCACUCUGA